GGGCGGCGGGCGGAAGGCAUCACUUUGUCCGGACUCUAAUUCAAAUUGUAUUCAUCCGAUCUUCACCAAACUUGGUCAGCAGUUGCAUCUAGUUGAUAUCUAGGCCAAGUUCGAAUAUGGGUCAUGCCGGGUCAAAAACUAGGUCAUAGGGUCAAUUAGUGCAUUUUCAACGGCGCCACUUUGUCCGGACUCUAAUUCAAAUUGUAUUCAUCCGAUCUUCACCAAACUUGGUCAGUAGUUGCAUCUAGUUGAUAUCUAGGUCAAGUUCGAAUAUGGGUCAUGUCGGGUCAAGAACUAGGUCAUAGGGUCAAUUAGUGCAUUUUCAACGGCGCCACUUUGUCCGGACUCUAAUUCAAAUUGUAUUCAUCCGAAACUUUUAAACAACUUUUUAUCCUGCGUCAAAGUGGUAUGGGGGUAUAAGUCACAUUCAGUGACAAAGCUCUAGUUCAAGUUGAAUUCACCAAACUUGGUCAGAGGUAGUAUAUAGAUUAUAUAUCAGUCAGGUCUGAUUGGAGACAUGCAACCGAUUAACACAUGUAAUAUUUUUAUGCAAUAUUUUUAUCCAGUUUUAUUUUGCGAUAUUUUCAUCGGGUUUAUUUUUAUAAUUUUAUUCUUGUGAUACGCCCGUUUUAAAAACGGGACGUAUUAUAGUUUCACCCUUGGCGGGCGGCGUCCAUGGCAGUGUCCGCUCUCUAAUUCAAAUAGUUUUCAUCCGAUCUUCACUAAACUUGGGCAGAAGUUGUGUCUAGACAAUAUCUAGGUCAAGUUCGAAUAUGGGUCAUGCUGGGUCAAAAACUAGGUCACGGGGUCACUUAGUGCAUUUCAAGGAUUAAGCAUGGUGUCCGCUCUCUAAUUGAAGUAGUUUUCACGCGAUCAUCACCAAAUUUGGUCAGAAGUUGUGUCUAGAUGAUAUGUAGGUCAAGUUCAAAUAUGGGUCAUGCCGGGUCAAAAACUAGGUCACGAGGUCACUUAGUGCAUUUCAAGCAUUAAGCAUGGUGUCCGCUCUCUAAUUGAAGAAGUUUUCAUCUGAUCUUCACCUAAUUUGGUCAGAAGUUGUGUCUAGAUGAUAUGUAGGUCAAGUUCGAAUAUGGGUCAUGCCGGGUCAAAAACGAGGUCACGAGGUUACUUAGUGCAUUUCAAGCAUUUAGCAUGGUGUCCCCUCUCUAAUUGAAGUAGUUUUCAUCCGAUCUUCACCAAAUUGGUCAGAAGUUGUGUCUAGAUGAUAUGUAGGUCAAGUUCAAAUAUGGGUCAUGCAGGGUCAAAAACUAGGUCAUGAGGUCACAUAGUGCAUUUCAAGCAUUUAGCAUGGUGUCCGCUCUCUUAUUGAAGUAGUUUUCAUCCGAUCUUCACCUAAUUUGAUCAGAAGUUGUGUGUAGAUGAUAUGUAGGUAAAGUUCGAAUAUGGGUCAUGCCGGGUCAAAAAUGGGGUCACGAGGUCACAUAGUGCAUUUCAAGCAUUUAGCAUGGUGUCCGCUCUCUAAUUGAAGUAGUUUUUUAUCCGAUCUUCACCUAAUUUGGUCAGAAAAUGUGUCUAGAUGAUAUGUAGGUCAAGUUCAAAUAUGGGUCAUGCCGGGUCAAAAACGAGGUCACGAUGUCACUUAGUGCAUUUCAAGCAUUGAGCAUGGUGUCCAAAACCUUCGAACGGGCGUAUCUUGUGACAGUUUGGCACUCU